GGGUUGAAAACGCGGUUUUUUGGGGUAGAACGCCUGACUCUGGAUCAGGAAGUUCAAGGUUCGAGUCCUUGCAGCCCA
rnacentral:tRNA from 1 species